rnacentral:sRNA from 1 species
CGAAAACGCGGCCGAGCCCGGAGCCCGGAGCUGGAGCCAGAGCCUGGACCAGAACUUGGCCGCCGCCUGCACCGCCGCCGCCGCUGCCGCCCGCCGCCCCUUCCCCGCGCCGCAGCCGCCUCGCCGCCACCGCCGCGAGCUCGGCCGCCAAUGGUCCUCGGACUUUAGGUGUCCGGGUUGAAGGUGCUAUACUUGGUAGAUCAGAAACUCAGGAGUGUCUUUUCUUUAAUGCUAAUUGGGAAAAAGACAGAACCAAUCAAACUGGUGUUGAACCAUGUUAUGGUGACAAAGAUAAACGGCGGCAUUGUUUUGCUACCUGGAAGAAUAUUUCUGGUUCCAUUGAAAUAGUGAAACAAGGUUGUUGGCUGGAUGAUAUCAACUGCUAUGACAGGAUAGUAAGAGAAGUAAGAGGAAAAGAAGAUUCAAGAAUUGUCAAAGUGUGGAAGAAAAGAAAAUGAUAAAAGAAGAAUGAAAUUGAAUGGACUGAUUGUGUAGAAAAAAAAGACAGCCCUGAAGUAUAUUUUUGUUGCUGUGAGGGCAAUAUGUGUAAUGAAAAGUUUUCUUAUUUUCCGGAGAUGGAAGUCACACAGCCCACUUCAAAUCCAGUUACACCUAAGCCACCCUAUUACAACAUCCUGCUCUAUUCCUUGGUGCCACUUAUGUUAAUUGCGGGGAUUGUCAUUUGUGCAUUUUGGGUGUACAGGCAUCACAAGAUGGCCUACCCUCCUGUACUUGUUCCAACUCAA